UAUUGUGCGCCGCCGCCACUGCACUCCUUCAGGGCAGACUUCCGGUUUGUUUCUGCUGGACCGGGACUGUCAAAUUGUAUAUGUGUCCCCUUUAUGUCGCAUGACUGAAUCAAGGAGACCAAGUGGGGUGUGAAUUGUUUGUUUCUUGUGACCAGGGCUUCACGCUCAGAACGGACUCUUGGACUUUAUCCAAUACAAAGAGACGGAGCGAGAGAGGGACACCUGCACCACCGUCAGUGCGGUGGGGGCCGCGCUCCAACCCGAGUCGCAUAAAUGGCAAAGCAGGUUUCUUCGCAGUGACUUGGAGCAUUUUUUCAUAUGUUUGUCAGCCUUUUGGAUCUCUUCUAUGGUCAAGGCCCGGACUCAGGGGCAACUGAAUAAAGGAGGAGCCGUCGACAGAGGAGCCCAGAGCUUUGGGUGAGCCAAGUGACGAGUUA